GACGAACGCUGGCGGCGUGCUUAACACAUGCAAGUUGAACGGAAAGGCCCUGCUUUUGUGGGGUGCUCGAGUGGCGAACGGGUGAGUAACACGUGAGUAACCUGCCCUUGACUUUGGGAUAACUUCAGGAAACUGGGGCUCAUACCGGAUAGGAGCUCCUGCUGCAUGGUGGGGGUUGGAAAGUUUCGGCGGUUGGGGAUGGACUCGCGGCUUAUCAGCUUGUUGGUGGGGUAGUGGCUUACCAAGGCUUUGACGGGUAGCCGGCCUGAGAGGGUGACCGGCCACAUUGGGACUGAGAUACGGCCCAGACUCCUACGGGAGGCAGCAGUGGGGAAUAUUGCACAAUGGGCGGAAGCCUGAUGCAGCAACGCCGCGUGCGGGAUGACGGCCUUCGGGUUGUAAACCGCUUUCGCCUGUGACGAAGCGUGAGUGACGGUAAUGGGUAAAGAAGCACCGGCUAACUACGUG
rnacentral:rRNA from 1 species